rnacentral:rRNA from 1 species
CCUACGGGAGGCAGCAGUAGGGAAUCUUCCACAAUGGGCGAAAGCCUGAUGGAGCAACGCCGCGUGGGUGAAGAAGGUCUUCGGAUCGUAAAACCCUGUUGUUAGAGAAGAAAGUGCGUGAGAGUAACUGUUCACGUUUCGACGGUAUCUAACCAGAAAGCCACGGCUAACUACGUGCCAGCAGCCGCGGUAAUACGUGGGGGGCAAGCGUUAUCCGGAUUUAUUGGGCGUAAAGGGAGCGCAGGCGGUCAUGUAAGUCUGAUGUGAAAGCCUUCGGCUUAACCGGAGUAGUGCAUUGGAAACUGGGAGACUUGAGGGCAGAAGAGGAGAGUGGAACUCCAUGUGUAGCGGUGAAAUGCGUAGAUAUAAGGAAGAACACCGGUGGCGAAGGCGGCUUACUGGACUGUAACUGACGUUGAGGCUCGAAAGCGUGGGGAGCAAACAGGAUUAGAUACCCUGGUAGUC